GAUUGUUCACCCACCAAUAGGGAACGUGAGCUGGGUUUAGACCGUUGUGAGACAGGUUGGUUUUACCCUACUGAUGACAGUGUCGCAAUAGUAAUUCAACCAAGUACGAGAGGAACUGUUGAUUCGCACAAUUGGUCAUCGCGCUUGGAUGAAAAGCCAGUGGCGCGAAGCUACCAUGCGCUGGAUUAUGACUGAACGCCUCUAAGUCAGAAUUCGGGCUAGAAGUGACGCAUGUGCCCACCGCCCGCUUGCCGACCCGCAGUAGGGGCCAAACGGCCUCCAAGGGCACAUGUCGUUGGUAAAGCCCGCACGGCGGACGAGCUGCACGGGCCGCCUUGAAGUACAAUUCCUGUCUCGAGCGGUGGGUAGAAUCCUUUGCAGACGACUUAAAUACGCGACGGGAUAUUGUAAGUGGCAGAGUGGCCUUGCUGCCACAAUCCACUGAGAU
rnacentral:rRNA from 1 species